GAUCAUGGCUCAGAUUGAACGCUGGCGGCAGGCCUAACACAUGCAAGUCGAACGGUAACAGAAAGCAGCUUGCUGCUUUGCUGACGAGUGGCGGACGGGUGAGGUAAUGUCUGGGAAACUGCCCGAUGGAGGGGGAUAACUACUGGAAACGGUAGCUAAUACCGCAUAACGUCGCAAGACCAAAGAGGGGGGACCUUCGGGCCGUCUUUGCCAUCGGAUGUGCCCAGAAUGGGUAGUUAGCUAGUAGGGG
rnacentral:rRNA from 1 species